rnacentral:pre_miRNA from 1 species
AGUCAAAUUGCUGGGUCAAAUGGUAACUCCACAUUUCACUUUUUGAGAAAUUGCCAAAUUGUUUUCCAAAGUGGCUGUACCAUCUUACAUUCCCACUGGCAAU